rnacentral:rRNA from 1 species
UAAGGAAUAUUGGUCAAUGGACGCAAGUCUGAACCAGCCAUGCCGCGUGAAGGAUGAAGGUCCUCUGGAUUGUAAACUUCUUUUAUCUGGGACGAAAACGGGAUUUUUAUCUCAAUUGACGGUACCAGAGGAAUAAGCACCGGCUAACUCCGUGCCAGCAGCCGCGGUAAUACGGAGGGUGCGAGCGUUAUCCGGAUUUACUGGGUUUAAAGGGUGCGUAGGUGGGCUUAUAAGUCAGUGGUGAAAUCUCCGAGCUUAACUUGGAAACUGCCGUUGNUACUAUAGGUCCUGAAUUAUCUGGAGGUAAGCGGAAUAUGUCAUGUAGCGGUGAAAUGCUUAGAUAUGACAUAGAACACCAAUUGCGAAGGCAGCUUACUACAUAUAAAUUGACGCUGAGGCACGAAAGCGUGGGGAUCAAACA